rnacentral:rRNA from 1 species
UUCCGGUUGAUCCUGCCGAAGGCUACUGCUAUUGGAGUUCGAUUAAGCCAUGCGAGUCUAAGGGACUUCGGUCCCUGGCAUAAUGCUCAGUAACAAGUGGAUAAUCUGCCCUUAGGUGAGGAAUAAACCCGGGAAACUGGGGCUAAUACCUCAUAGACACAAGAAGCUGGAAUGCUCCUGUGUUCAAAGCUCCGGCGCCUAAGGAUGAGUCUGCUUCCUAUCAGGUUGUAGUCAGGGUCAAGACCUGACUAGCCAGCGACGGGUACGGGGUGUGAGAGCACUUGCCCGGAGAUGGUUUCUGAGACACGAAACCAGGCCCUACGGGGCGCAGCAGGCGCGAAAACUUCGCAAUGCGGGAAACCGUGACGAGGGAACUCCAAGUGUCUAUGCAAUGCAUAGACUGUUUUUCAGCCUAAACAGCUGUUAGAGUAAGAGGUGGGCAAGACCGGUGCCAGCCGCCGCGGUAACACCGGCACCUCGAGUGGUAGCCACUAUUAUUGGGCCUAAAGCGUUCGUAGCCGGUUUGGUAAAUUCUUGGGUAAAUCGUACAGCUUAACUGUGCGGAUUCCGGGGACACUACCAGACUUGAGACCGGGAGAGAUCAGAGGUACUUGUAGGGGAGCGGUGAAAUGUUGUAAUCCUACAGGGACCACCAGUGGCGAAGGCGUCUGAUCAUAACGGCUUUGACGGUGAGGAACGAAACCCUGGGGCGCAAACGGGAUUAGAUACCCCGGUAGUCCAGGGCGUAAACGCUGCUGACUUGG